GAAAAAUUGGUGCUCUGGCACUUACAGUGUGAUUAUAUGUUAUCCACAUGUUAUAGCAUUACUACCUAUAGAAAUUGAUAAAUCAUUUAUUUGAGCUCUAAGAAUUUGGUAAGGUGGGUUCGAACAUUAUCAAGAAUAUUCUGGGAGCUUGCACAAAAAAGUUGCAGUUCUCUACAAAAGAACUGUUGAAUGGGAAAAACAACAAACAUUAGAAGAGGGCGCUACCUCUUCUGAUAUACUUGGGCCAGAUGAAAUAUAAGAGGCAAGUGAAGAUGAAUAUGUUGUUCAUUAGUGUGCUAGUGUUGAUGAUGCAGAGGUGCUUUUUAAAGUCAACAUCCUUUUGCUAUUAAGGGCUUAAACGUAGGGAUGUGGUAGUUCUAUUUUGCCACUUUGUUCUGAAACCUUGAACUUGUUCGAAAUUCCUUCCCUUUCUAUUCUGAAAUGACUCUUGUGUCAACUGCAUGCUUGCAAGAUAUGUUCCUUAGUUACACUUAUGAACCUUUGAUCUGAACAUUAUAAGUAUAGUUUAGCGAAUUACAUUUUCUUAUUUUUCUCUUUGCUUUUAUUAUGAACAAUCCUGUUCAUUUUUUCUUAUAUCAGAAAGCAAAUUUGUAUCAAUAUACCUAUGCCUAUACUUUCCAUUACCUUAAAAUUGAAUUAUACCCAUGAUCAAAUUCGAGAAUAACAAUUUUUUCCAUCCAAAUACAUAAUUGCUUUAACUGGAGUUUAGGGCAUAAAGGUUGCACUAGCUGCUGGUCUUGACAAAGAUGUAGAAGAUUCAGAAGGAAUGACAACAUUGCAUUUCGCUUGUGGAUAUGACGAGUUAAGUAGUUGAUCGAUAUAACGUUCAUAUAGGACCUUCAGUAUAUUCAUCUUGUUUAGCCUCAACUAUUUAGUCUGAACAGCAAAAAAUGUCAAUGUUAUAAGUUCAGCUGUAGUGGUAUGUAGCUACACUUGACGGUAGCUGCUGCUAAGAUAACUGGCUAAUAUCAAGAGAAAGACAUGAAAUUAACAAGGCAUUUCCAAGGGACAAG